rnacentral:rRNA from 1 species
UACGAAGGGUGCAAGCGUUACUCGGAAUCACUGGGCGUAAAGCGUGCGUAGGCGGUUCGUUAAGUCUGCUGUGAAAGCCCUGGGCUCAACCUCAGGCCUGCGCGGGAUACUGCUUGGCUAGAGUCCGGAAGAGGAGAGUGGAAUUCCUGGUGUAGCGGUGGAAUGCGCAGAUAUCAGGAGGAACAUCCGUGGCGAAGGCGGCUCUCUGGGACGGUACUGACGCUGAGACGCGAAAGCGUGGGGAGCGAACAGG